rnacentral:piRNA from 1 species
UCGCCACGGGAAUUGGCUCUCUUCCUUU